rnacentral:rRNA from 1 species
AGUGAACGCUGGCGGUAUGCCUAACACAUGCAAGUCGAACGGCAGCACAGUAAGAUCUUGCCCUUACGGUUGGCGAGUGGCGGACGGGUGAGGCAUACAUCGGCAUCUACUUUUUCUUGGGUGAUAUCGUAGGGACACUUACACUAAUACCUCAUACGUCCUACGGCUUAAAGCAAGAGAUCUUCGGACUUUUCGCGUCUCAAUUAGCCGAUGUCGCAUUAGCUAGUUGGCAGGGUAAAGGCUCAGCAAGGCAACGAUCCGUAGCUGAUCUGAGAGGAUGAUCAGCCACACUGGAACUGAGACACGGUCCAGACUCCUACGGGAGGCAGCAGUAGGGAAUAUUGCGCAAUGGGCGAAAGCCUGAUGGAGUCAUGCCGCGUGAGUGAAGAAGGCCUUCGGGUUGUAAAACCCUGUUGUUGGGAAAGAAAAGCAGCGGAUUAAACCCCGGAUGUUCUGACGGUACCCAAAGAAAAAGCACCGGCUAACUUCGUG